UACGGAGGUGAAGGACUACGCCGAUUAUCGGCGCUCUCUAUACGGACAGAUCACGCACAAGGCGCUCCUCGUCGACGCCGUUGGCACGCUCGUCCUCCCCUCGCAACCCAUGGCUCAGGUACGUCACGUGCUUCGAUUUGCGCGCCAAGAGAAACUUAAAACUGAAACGGAUUUUAUAUUCGACUUGGAGCUGACUCCGGUUUGUGUGCUUUUGGUAGAUUUAUAGGACGAUUGGCGAAAAGUAUGGUGUGGAAUACUCGGAGGAUGAAAUACUGUUUAGAUACAGAAGAGCAUAUGGGCAGCCUUGGGGAAAAUCUCGUCUCAGGUUAGCUUCUUACUUCUACUUUUGUUUUUACUUUUUAUCGUUCAUGUGAAAAUAGUUAGAUUUUAUUACUUGGAUAUGACUUUGGUUGAAAUAUAAUUUUGGGUUUUAAGUUUUAAAAGUUUCGCAUUAUUUGAUUUUGCGAGAAAUUGCAGACUAAUGUGACCACAACUGUGGUUGUGAUGUGAUUGCGGAGGGCAAAAAAGUUUUGACAUUGUGAUCGAAAUGGUAGUGCCGGAUCGUUUUUAAAAAUCUUGGUGUUGAUAUUGGUUGUUGCUUUUUGAGUAGGUGUUUAUUAAUUAUCAUGAAUUGCUUUCACGGGAUUGAAAAUUUCGUAGUUUGGAUCUUUUUAUAUAUCUACCUUAAAUUUCGAAAAGAAAAAGAAAAGGAGUUGUUAGCAAAUUCAUGGCGGUUGAUUCUGCCUGGUGGACUAAAUUUCUUAAUGGGGUCCUUUGUGUGUAUAGGUGAUUUUACUUGCUUGUCUAAUGAGCAAUUGUACUAUUGCAGACGCUACUGGUAAAAAUCUCAAGACAGCAUUACAUUAAAAUAACUUCAGAUAGGGAUUUGUUGUUAUAUUUUAAUAUUAAUAUUUUUAUGUUUGAGUUUUUAAAUGAUUGGACUUGUAAUAUGCUAGAGUUUCUCAUGUCUGAUUAGUUUUAAAGUCUUGGAGCCAAGUAUCGGUCAUUCGCAUAUAAAUGUUGCCAAGGGAUUUUCCAUUGCUUUUGAGUGAAAUGACAAGAACACUCUUUUGAUUGCAUGAUAGCUUGUUUGUUCGUGGCAAUAAAUUUAUAUAGCUUGUAGUGAAUGUUCUGUCUUAAUUGCCUACUUCGUGAAAGUACUAUGAUGUAAACAUUUUCAUUAGUGAGAAAUUUUUUAGCACAAUACGUAUGAACCAUAUUAUCAAAAUCCAAUUUCUGAUUUAGCUUGACAAGUAUCAUGUGGUUUGUUUUGUAUGCAGCUUUAAAUAUCCAUGGUUAUACGCCUUUUAACUUUAAAGUUACUGUUUUCAUGUACACAUUCUUUGUAAUUUGUCUCUUAAAAUGCUUGAAUAGUAUGCCACUGGCCUUUAGGUUAAGAUACUCUGUUUUGUGGAAAUAAAAUUUGGAAUGAAAUGCUUCUCUUCGCAUUCUCUGCCUUUGUAUUCAAAAACUGCCAAAGUCUUAUCCAUGCUAGGUAUAUUGUCAAGUUUUAUGUUGGUCUGUGACUAAAUAAGUAAAAAGCAAUCUCUUACAUAUAACUAUAGAGACACUUUACUUCUUUUCAUAUUUAGUAUAAUUAAGAUUCCUUGUUUUUCUUUUAUAUUGCAGAUAUGUUAAUGAUGGUAAGCCCUUCUGGCAAUACAUAGUUAGUUAUUCCACCGGCUGUUCAGAUCCUCAAUACUUUGAAGAACUUUAUAACUAUUAUAUGACAGACAAGGUAAAAUAAUGAUCAUUUUCGGAAAUAUAAUAUGCAUUUUUCUCAAAAUAAAUUGGAUAGUUUUUGAUACUUAUAUAUAUGUCUAUAAACCAUACAGGCAUGGCACCUCAAUGAUCCUGGAGCAGAAGAAGUAUUUAGAGCUCUUCGAAAAUCAGGUGUGAAAUUAGCUGUUGUAUCAAAUUUUGACACUAGGUUAAGACCUCUCC
rnacentral:lncRNA from 1 species